rnacentral:rRNA from 2 species
GGACUACAGGGGUUUCUAAUCCUGUUUGCUCCCCACGCUUUCGUGCCUCAGUGUCAAUACUCGUGAAGUAAGCUGCCUUCGCAAUUGGUGUUCUAUGUCAUAUCUAAGCAUUUCACCGCUACAUGACAUAUUCCGCUUACCUACGCGAGAUUCAAGAUCUAUAGUAUCAACGGCAGUUUCCAGGUUAAGCCUGGAGAUUUCACCACUGACUUACAGACCCACCUACGCACCCUUUAAACCCAGUGAAUCCGGAUAACGCUUGCACCCUCCGUAUUACCGCGGCUGCUGGCAC